CACACUACAAACACACUCACACACACACUGACUUAAGAGUGACCUCGAGUCACAAAUAAUGAGUGCAGGUUAAUUGAUUCCGAAAGUCUUGUCUGGGUCAGUCUCUCCCUGGGCCUGGGCCUCUUGAGUUAAGCGAAAACAUUCCAAUGUACCCUGCAAAAAAAAGCAGUCAGGCAUAGGCGGGAGGCAAGCAGGAAGUUGUAUGAGUUUUGAUUAUGCGUAGACUUUUAGUUUUCCUUGUCCGUUCCAUUCUCUCUCUCUCCCACCCCCUCUCUGCACCUCCCUCCUUCCCGCUCUCUGCCCUCGUUCCUAACCUUGUGGCAAGGGCUGCUUUAAGUGAGACAGGCACACAGACACACACACACACACACACACACACACACACACACACACACACACACACACACACACACACACACACACGCACACUCACACUCGGACACACACACACACUCACACACACACACACUCACACUCAGACACACACACACACACACACUCACACUCACACACGCACACACACACACACACACACACACACACACACACACAUCUCACGUGGCUAAAGAUUUGGAUUGGAUAAGUGUGCCUCCUGCUUCAUGCACGUAUAGAGCAGAGAGAGAGAGAAAAGUAAUCUCUGCCUGCUCACAAUUUUCUUGAGGCAUUUGUCAUUGUAGUUGGGGGAGAUUGCUGGGUACCCAGUGCUGUUAUUCUGGGGUGCACUGUCUAAGGGUGGUGCGUCAAUAGACGAGCAAGCUGGUGCAUGGAACAAGAUUUCAAUCCGACACUGGAAACACAAAAGCAGAAACUUAUGCCAAAUCCAACUGACUUCCACCCAGGAGCAGCCGGACUGCCUUGUCCUGCAGCCUUGUGUGCCCCUCAUGGAGCAAAAAACUCUGUUGCUGCCUCUGGUCUCCAGUCUCUAGCCUGAGCUGAACACUCAUUAAUGUCGCAGCUUGUGCUGUAAAGCAUCCAUCUUCAUCCAAUCAUUCCCACCUGAUGAAAUUGCAGAGGAGAUUUUCAAGAGGAGGGACUUUAGCGCAGAAUAGGUCCUGUGGCCCUUCGAGAUACGCCACUCAGCAACCCCCAACAACCCUGAUUUAACCCUAACCAUAAUCACGGGGCAAUUUACAAUGACCAAUUAACUCUCUAACUGGUACGUCUUUGGACUGUGGGAGGAAACUGGAGCACCCGGAGAAAACCCAUGCAUUCCACAGGAGGAGAGCAAUCCGCAUCGAUACGGCUCAAUACUGAUGAAGUGGAAGAUAAAAUGCUGCUCGACCACUGAGAUCCUCCAGCACUUUGUGUGAUGCUCCAAACUCUAUCAUGUUCAAGCAGCCAGACAGCUGACAUUUCCUUUGUGGACCGUCCCCGGUUCUCCAUCCGGUCAAAAAUUCCUCUGCUUCGGUUUCCUCUCUCCCCGUGACUGCCUCUCCUCUUGAAAGUCAGAGCGAGCUGACCUGCUUUUGCUUUUAUGCUGAGUGCUGCUGCGGUUCGGUGCACAGAUUACAGCCGAGAGGACAGGAUCAUGGGCAUUCAUCUUUGAGAGGAACACGAUGGGUGAAGCGUUUUUGUGCCUGGAAAUCAACCUCUUGCUUGGCUGUCACUCUGGUUAACGACUCUCAAGGCAACAGACGGAUGUGACCGCUGCAAUCUGUGGCUACGACACCCUGAGGAGAGAGCGGCAAAUGGGGAUGAGCCAGUGUAUUUCGAUGGCUGUGUUACCCACAGUUUGAAAGUCUGUCCAUGACUGUUAUCUUCCAGACAUCUACGGUGAGGAAAUAAAUGAAGUCUGACAAGACAUGAAGGAAAUGAAGGAACGAUUAACUGACAGACCAUAGCUACAAGACAGAGGUAAUGCUGCCUUGAGGAAAGUUUCACAACUGCAAGCAUUUGGAGAAUGCAGCUAAGGUUCAACUCCAGGCUCAUUGAAUGCCAUGCGUAUCUGUAAAAGGAAAGUCCUACUGUUCACCUGAAGGAAGAAGACUGCUGCUAGUCUGUCAACACUGCGCAGUGAGGGACCAGACAGUGGCAGCUGUGGGAGAUUUGCAUUGGUUUGUUUUCCAAACUUUUCCCCUCCCGUCCCUCACUCUCCAGAAGGCACUGACCUACAACUCUUGAAGGGCCAAGCACACUGGGAGGGUAGUCAGUUGUGUUCCCUCAGUCAGUCCCACUCCCAUUAGAAGACCUACAAAUGUAAAAUGCUAGAGGAACCCUGCAGCUCAGGCAGCAUGGAGAGGAAUGGAAAGGAAUCCCAGGUUUCUCAUUUUAAAUAUAAAGGUGGAGAUUAGCGUUAUUUGUCACAUGCACAUUGAAAUAUCAGAACACACAGUGAAAUGUGUCAUCUUUGUGUCAACAACCAACACGUCUGGAGGAAACCUACACGUGUCGCCAGGCCACACUUACAAACCUACAAGUGGUGCCAACCUAGCAUGCCCACAGAUUCCUAACCUUAACCCAUAGGAACGUGAAUGUGGAAAGGAACUGGAGCAUCCAGGGGAAGCCCACGGAGUGACUGUAAAAACUCCUUCCAGAGAGCAGUCUGAUCUUACAGCCGACUCUGUCAUGGACCGGGAAAGAAGGGGGAAGAAGCCAGAAAAAGAAGGUGGGAGGGGGAAGAAGUACGAGCUGGCAGAUGAUAGGUGAGAUCAGAUGAGAGGGAAGGUGGGUGGGUU